AAAUUGAAGAGUUUGAUCAUGGCUCAGAUUGAACGCUGGCGGCAGGCCUAACACAUGCAAGUCGAGCGGUAGCACAGAGAGCUUGCUCUCGGGUGACGAGCGGCGGACGGGUGAGUAAUGUCUGGGAAACUGCCUGAUGGAGGGGGAUAACUACUGGAAACGGUAGCUAAUACCGCAUAAUGUCGCAAGACCAAAGUGGGGGACCUUCGGGCCUCAUGCCAUCAGAUGUGCCCAGAUGGGAUUAGCUAGUAGGUGGGGUAACGGCUCACCUAGGCGACGAUCCCUAGCUGGUCUGAGAGGAUGACCAGCCACACUGGAACUGAGACACGGUCCAGACUCCUACGGGAGGCAGCAGUGGGGAAUAUUGCACAAUGGGCGCAAGCCUGAUGCAGCCAUGCCGCGUGUGUGAAGAAGGCCUUCGGGUUGUAAAGCACUUUCAGCGGGGAGGAAGGCGUUAAGGUUAAUAACCUUGGCGAUUGACGUUACCCGCAGAAGAAGCACCGGCUAACUCCGUGCCAGCAGCCGCGGUAAUACGGAGGGUGCAAGCGUUAAUCGGAAUUACUGGGCGUAAAGCGCACGCAGGCGGUCUGUCAAGUCGGAUGUGAAAUCCCCGGGCUCAACCUGGGAACUGCAUUAGAAACUGGCAGGCUAGAGUCUUGUAGAGGGGGGUAGAAUUCCAGGUGUAGCGGUGAAAUGCGUAGAGAUCUGGAGGAAUACCGGUGGCGAAGGCGGCCCCCUGGACAAAGACUGACGCUCAGGUGCGAAAGCGUGGGGAGCAAACAGGAUUAGAUACCCUGGUAGUCCACGCCGUAAACGAUGUCGAUUUGGAGGUUGUGCCCUUGAGGCGUGGCUUCCGGAGCUAACGCGUUAAAUCGACCGCCUGGGGAGUACGGCCGCAAGGUUAAAACUCAAAUGAAUUGACGGGGGCCCGCACAAGCGGUGGAGCAUGUGGUUUAAUUCGAUGCAACGCGAAGAACCUUACCUGGUCUUGACAUCCACAGAACUUUCCAGAGAUGGAUUGGUGCCUUCGGGAACUGUGAGACAGGUGCUGCAUGGCUGUCGUCAGCUCGUGUUGUGAAAUGUUGGGUUAAGUCCCGCAACGAGCGCAACCCUUAUCCUUUGUUGCCAGCGGUCCGGCCGGGAACUCAAAGGAGACUGCCAGUGAUAAACUGGAGGAAGGUGGGGAUGACGUCAAGUCAUCAUGGCCCUUACGACCAGGGCUACACACGUGCUACAAUGGCAUAUACAAAGAGAAGCGACCUCGCGAGAGCAAGCGGACCUCAUAAAGUAUGUCGUAGUCCGGAUUGGAGUCUGCAACUCGACUCCAUGAAGUCGGAAUCGCUAGUAAUCGUAGAUCAGAAUGCUACGGUGAAUACGUUCCCGGGCCUUGUACACACCGCCCGUCACACCAUGGGAGUGGGUUGCAAAAGAAGUAGGUAGCUUAACCUUCGGGAGGGCGCUUACCACUUUGUGAUUCAUGACUGGGGUGAAGUCGUAACAAGGUAACCGUAGGGGAACCUGCGGUUGGAUCACCUCCUUACCUUAAAGAA
rnacentral:rRNA from 1 species